rnacentral:tRNA from 2 species
GGUGAGAUGUCCGAGUGGAUUAAGGAACGUGUUUGGAAAACACGAGUAUAAAAUGAAGAAUUAUACCGAGGGUUCGAAUCCCUCUCUCACCG